GCACCAUUCUCUUGAUUCAAGAGUCUUUCUCUCCUUAUCCCCCGAGCAUUUCGGUCCCUCGUGAUUCGACUUCUCUUUCUGUAGUUUUAGUAUAGUAAGGUGAGCGCUGAAGCGCUGCACGAAUCUUUCUUAGAAAGAUUCAGCGACGAAGUUCUGCCCCUGCAGAGCCCGACUCCUAGCUAAAAUCCCCUUGAAAGUUUCGUCAAAGGAAAUUAUUUUAAAGUAAACGAAGCGCUGUCCGAGUACCGAGUCACCACCUUCUCAGGUGUUGAUAUGAAGUCACAAUACACUGAGAGAUUUAAAGAGAUUUAGAUCACUAGUGUAAAUAAUUGUAAGUUCUGUUUAUGCUUAUGUUUCUGUAUUAACGAUGACAUCCCAAACGUUUUAAAAUGAAAUAAAUACGUUUCAUCGAAAAUGUUUUAAUAACGUAUUUACCAUGUUUUUCUGGGAACAGAUUCCGCAACAUUUUUAUAAAAUGAAGUACUCUGAUUUUUAUAAAGCAUAAACAAAAUCGGUCUUUUCUGGCCGUGAAAAUGGGGAUGUCACAGUUGAAAGGUCGAUUUUGUGAAGAGAGAUUGAAGUCUAAGGAGCAGAGCAAGGAGAAGGUUGUGGAUCUGAUUUCUACUUCAUGUUAGCAUCAUCUUGUAGGUAACAAGUCAUCAACUUGACUUCUUUCUAGCUAGAUCUCUUCAUGUAAAGGUUUAGGGCUAUUUCUAGUUUGUUGUGGAGUUUUUUUUUUUUUUUGGUUUUAGGCAUGAUCUGAAGUUGUAACUUCAGAUAUAGACUCCUCUAGCCCCUUAUAGUCAUAAUGUUGUAGUCUUUAGCAAGUUUUGGCCUCAGCCUUACCUAAAACUUCUUCCUUAGCUUGGUUUUGGCAUUUUAAGACCUUGUAUGCACGUAAAGUUUGCAACUUUACGUGGAAACCAUGCCCUAGGAGGCUAGAUCUACAAUUUGGAGCCUUGGUCUUACUUAAAAGCGUCUGAAUAAG